AGAGUUUGAUCCUGGCUCAGAGCGAACGCUGGCGGCAGGCCUAACACAUGCAAGUCGAACGGACUCUUCGGAGUUAGUGGCGGACGGGUGAGUAACACGUGGGAACGUGCCUUUUGGUUCGGAAUAAGCUCGGGAAACUGGGUCUAAUACCGAAUGUGCCCUUCGGGGGAAAGAUUUAUCGCCAUUAGAGCGGCCCGCGUCUGAUUAGCUAGUUGGUGGUGUAAUGGACCACCAAGGCGACGAUCAGUAGCUGGUCUGAGAGGAUGACCAGCCACAUUGGGACUGAGACACGGCCCAAACUCCUACGGGAGGCAGCAGUGGGGAAUCUUGCGCAAUGGGCGAAAGCCUGACGCAGCCAUGCCGCAUGUAUGAUGAAGGUCUUAGGAUUGUAAAAUACUUUCACCGGUGAAGAUAAUGACUGUAGCCGGAGAAGAAGCCCCGGCUAACUUCGUGCCAGCAGCCGCGGUAAUACGAAGGGGGCUAGCGUUGCUCGGAAUUACUGGGCGUAAAGGGAGCGUAGGCGGACAUUUAAGUCAGGGGUGAAAUCCCAGAGCUCAACUCUGGAACUGCCUUUGAUACUGGGUGUCUUGAGUGUGAGAGAGGUAUGUGGAACUCCGAGUGUAGAGGUGAAAUUCGUAGAUAUUCGGAAGAACACCAGUGGCGAAGGCGACAUACUGGCUCAUUACUGACGCUGAGGCUCGAAAGCGUGGGGAGCAAACAGGAUUAGAUACCCUGGUAGUCC
rnacentral:rRNA from 1 species